rnacentral:misc_RNA from 1 species
UCCGGUUUGUCACCGGCAGUCUCAUUAGAGUGCCCUUUCGUAGCAACUAAUGACAAGGGUUGCGCUCGUUGCGGGACUUAACCCAACAUCUCACGACACGAGCUGACGACAGCCAUGCAGCACCUGUGUACACGCUCCGAAGAGAAGACGGUUUUCACCGUCGGUCGUGUACAUGUCAAACCCAGGUAAGGUUCUUCGCGUUGCGUCGAAUUAAACCACAUGCUCCGCUGCUUGUGCGGGUCCCCGUCAAUUCCUUUGAGUUUUAGCCUUGCGGCCGUACUCCCCAGGCGGGGCACUUAAUGCGUUAGCUCCGGCACGGGAGGAGUCGACACCUCCCACACCUAGUGCCCAUCGUUUACGGCGUGGACUAC